rnacentral:rRNA from 1 species
UACGUAGGCAGCGAGCGUUGUUCGGAGUUACUGGGCGUAAAGGGUGUGUAGGCGGUUUUCUAAGUUUGGUGUGAAAUCUCCCGGCUCAACCGGGAGGGUGCGCCGAAAACUGGGAGACUAGGGUGCGGGAUGGGAGAGUAGAAUUCCUGGUGGUAGCGGUGAAAUGCGUAGAUAUCAGGAGGAAUACCGGUGGUGUAGACGGCUCUCUGGACCGCCACUGACGCUGAGACACGAAAGCGUGGGUAGCAAACAGG